rnacentral:rRNA from 1 species
UACGGAGGGUGCGAGCGUUGUUCGGAAUCACUGGGCGUAAAGCGCGUGUAGGCGGCCCACUAAGUCUGAUGUGAAAGCCCGGGGCUCACCCCCGGAAGUGCAUUCGAAACUGCAGAGCUGGAGUCCUGGAGAGGAAGGCGGAAUUCUCGGUGUAGAGGUGAAAUUCGUAGAUAUCGAGAGGAACACCGGUGGCGAAGGCGGCCUUCUGGACAGUGACUGACGCUGAGACGCGAAAGCGUGGGGAGCAAACAGG